rnacentral:rRNA from 1 species
UACGUAGGGUGCGAGCGUUGUCCGGAAUUAUUGGGCGUAAAGGGCUCGUAGGCGGUCUGUCGCGUCGGGAGUGAAAACUCAGGGCUUAACCCUGAGCCUGCUUCCGAUACGGGCAGACUAGAGGUAUGCAGGGGAGAACGGAAUUCCUGGUGUAGCGGUGGAGUGCGCAGAUAUCAGGAGGAACACCGGCGGCGAAGGCGGUUCUCUGGGCAUUACCUGACGCUGAGGAGCGAAAGUGUGGGGAGCGAACAGG